rnacentral:ncRNA from 19 species
UAAUAGUAGUUGAAAAUGAUUAUCAAUACCACAUAGAACAUCCCCCCCCCACAACGUUUCGUUCUUGUUGGAUUGGUCAUUUUCAAAUAUUCCCCUUUUAUAUGCCCGUAAAAGACAAUAUACGUUAUAACAACGUUUUAUAAAAGCAGUAAACCCUUACGACACUUUAGGUUUACUGCUUUU